ensembl:lncRNA Selenow selenoprotein W
AGAAGGGACAGCGAGGGGCUCUCAAGUUACUGGUCCCAGGGAUGCCGUCUGUGGAGACAACCCCAGGAUAUAAAGAGAACAGUAGGGAGUCUUGGUUUGGGUCGCGUCGGUGGCCACAGCCUUCGUCGUGCUCUGGAACCUCGGUCUUCGCAUCACCCUGCUCCCCCCACGUACUUGGUUUGCUCCGACUCUUGAGGUACUCGGCUGUGCGCACGGCCCCACGCGCAGAGAUUGAAGUCCUUGCUGCUAGUGGGUCGGGUCCUCGCUUUGUGCGGGGAUGCGACGUGCAGCAAUGGCGCUAGCCGUUCGAGUCGUGUAUUGGUAAGUCCCAGUGCUACAGUUCCCCCUUUUCCUGCUUUCGGCUCUUUGUGCCAGGGACUCCCUUCUCUGCUCCCCAUCCUUUGUGCCAGAAAUCCCACUCCCCACCCCCACCCACCCACUCUAUCUACCAGGGUCUGGUGGUCGAGUACGAUGACUGUAUUCCAUAGCCAAAGGGAGGGAUUUCCAAGCGGGUGGGAUGACGGAGGUAACAGAGACUUGAGCCAGAUUCCUGGCAUCUGCCAUCAGAGGCAUCUCGCCAGAGAAAGUGGAAACUGGUGCUUGGGUCCCUAUUUGAACACGUGACAGCGCUGAGGGAAGGGGAAGGGUAGCAUCGGGUUUCUCUGGGGACCUUUACCUUCGACAGUCUGUUUCCCUUCCCCCUCUCUGAGCAGCACUGGGUUAGAGAAGGCUAAAGGCCUGAUUUAGGGAAGUCUAAGAUACAUGUCGUGGUUGGGGGUUGACUCUUAAGCGCUGUUGGGAGGUCUGGGGAUGUCCUGUACCUGGAUUGUAGUGUGAGUUAGCAGCGGCCGUGCCUCCCUGUGUACAUGAAAAAAGGGAGAAUUGAGCCACGGAGUGGUGGUGGUGGUGCACACUUUUAAUCCCAGCAUUUGGAAGCAGAGGCAGGUAGAUAGUUCCAGGCCAGCCUGGUCUGCUUGUUAGGGGCAACCAGGGUGAUGAGGUGAGACCCUGUGCCCCGAAAAGGAAAAGCAAUGUGGGAUAGAUUGUAGGGGUUAGGAUGUAGCUCAGUGGUAGAGUGUCUGCCUGAAAUGCACCAGGUUCUGGGGUUCGGUUCCCAGCAAUACAAAAAGCAAAACAAAACCAAGAAACUCUUACUGGCCUCUGAUCAGUGGGUACUGGUGCUGUUAGCUCCAGUCCUGUCCUUUUCUGGCCUCAGUUUCCCCUUCUGUAGUGUGAAGGGGUGAUGAUGUUGGUUAGUUACCUGACAGUGCUAUAAUUGUGCCCCUGCUAAAGGCAAGCAUUUUCCAUGCUUGCCAGCAUUUCUUGAUGGCUUUUCCUCCAUCUGCGUCUGAUACUCAGCUGGCAUUCAGUAAGUGAUUCCACAUUCCUGAAGCCUCUUGAGGGCUCUCUACUCUGUCUCCAUUUUACAGGGAGGAAACUGAGGCUGGAAAUGAGGCAGGGCCAGCCUGAGGUCUUACAACUGAUAACUCUGUAACUUGAAUCUGGGUUCCCUGGUCCACUUAGCUGCAUGUGGUCUCCCCCCUCCCCCUGCAACUCCCUCGAGGGGUCUGAUCAUCCCCAGUUAUCAGGAUGUCCUUCAAAAGCAUGCUUUAAUAUGUUGAGGAUCUCACGAGGCCACUGUACCAGAUUCCAGGCACAAAUGGCCUGAGGUAGGGGAUGUGGGGGCAGGGAAAGUUAGGAUUCCUGACUGACAGCCAGGCGAGGGAGGGAGUGGGUGGAUGAAAUUCUACUGAGGCAGCAUUUGUCUUAAUCUCCUUCCCUCUGUUUCCUUCCCCAUUGUCAUCUCUAUGAAACCUGUGAUCUCUUUGCCACACACACCCCCCACACCCCCGCCAUCUUGGCUCUCUUGUUUGGGGUGGGCUUUCUUUGUUUCUUUUUUUUUUUUUUUUUGUUUUUUUCCGGAGCUGGGGACCGAACCCAGGGCCUUGCUAGGGCCUUGCUCCUGCUAGGCAAGCGCUCUACCACUGAGCUAAAUCCCCAACCCCCUUUCUUUGUAUCUCUGCAUUGUUGCACACAUCUCUCUGUGUGAUGAGCUUGCCUUCCCCUCCUUUGAGGGUCUUAGUCACCUGUGCAUUCUCAUCUGGAUCUAUCACCUUUGUCUCACUGCUGUUGCCUGCCUCCCUUGGUACCUGUGACCCAUGCUCUGCCCCGUGGACUGUGACAACCCUGGAUUCACCUGAUAGUGGAGCUUGAGGCUAUAAGCCCAAGUAUCUCCAGCUCAAGGAGAAGCUAGAACAUGAGUUCCCCGGAUGCCUGGACAUCUGUGGCGAGGGGACUCCCCAGGUCACCGGGUUCUUUGAAGUGACGGUAGCCGGGAAGUUGGUUCACUCCAAGAAGAGAGGUGAUGGCUACGUGGAUACAGAGAGCAAGUUCCGGAAACUGGUGACUGCCAUCAAAGCCGCCUUGGCUCAGUGCCAGUGAGCCCUAGAGGCAGGGUCCUGAAGGCUCCUGGCCGGCCUUUCUUGGCAGCCGCUUCAUGACAGGAAGGACUGAAAUGUCUCAAAGACCUGUGGUCUUUCUUCGAUGUUCCUGCGGCCACCAAGUCAGGCCAGAGAUGGAUUCUGUGUGUGGGUGCCUUCCCAGAAUCUACCUGUGCACGCACCCCGCCCUGCCCUCCCGCCCUCUUCCUCACCUCUCUCUGAAUUCCCCCAUGUUUCCUACCUUCCCUCCUGCUUUGGUUUCCCGUCUCCCCCUCAAGACUGCAAGAAGACGGGCAGCCGUGUCGCCAGGUGUUCCUGGUUGAAUAAAGGUUGGCCAAGGCAACCUGAGGAAAUGUAGUUUAUUUUGCCUUGCAGUUUCGGGUCACAAUCCUGGAUGGGGAAUUCAAGGUAGCAGGGUCUUGAAGAAGCUGGUCACAUUGUAUCUGCAGGCAGAAAGCAGAGAGAUGGAGCUGGGUGAAACGGCCCAGCAGGCGAAGGCACUUACUGCCAAGACAUAGUCCGAGUUCAGUCCUUGAGACCCACAGACCACAUGGCGGAAUAAGACAAGCAACCCUGCUGACCUCUGUUGCCUGCUUUGGCACUCUGGAGAGUACACAAACGCACAUGCGUGUGAGCCCUCUCUCCUCCCCCCACCUUUCUCUCUCUCUCACACACACAUACGCACACACGCACACAGAAAAACUAUAAUACACAGAGUGGAGAACACAUGCUACUGCUCAGCUCCUGUAGUCCAGAUCUCCUGACUAUGGUCCCAUCCACAGUGGUUAAGAGCACUGGCUGUUC